rnacentral:rRNA from 1 species
GACGAACGCUGGCGGCGUGCCUAAUACAUGCAAGUUGAGCGCUGAAGGUUGGUACUUGUACCAACUGGAUGAGCAGCGAACGGGUGAGUAACGCGUGGGGAAUCUGCCUUUGAGCGGGGGACAACAUUUGGAAACGAAUGCUAAUACCGCAUAAAAACUUUAAACACAAGUUUUAAGUUUGAAAGAUGCAAUUGCAUCACUCAAAGAUGAUCCCGCGUUGUAUUAGCUAGUUGGUGAGGUAAAGGCUCACCAAGGCGAUGAUACAUAGCCGACCUGAGAGGGUGAUCGGCCACAUUGGGACUGAGACACGGCCCAAACGCCUACGGGAGGCAGCAGGAGGGAAUCUUCGGCAAUGGACGAAAGUCUGACCGAGCAACGCCGCGUGAGUGAAGAAGGUUUUCGGAUCGUAAAACUCUGUUGGUAGAGAAGAACGUUGGUGAGAGUGGAAAGCUCAUCAAGUGACGGUAACUACCCAGAAAGGGACGGCUAACUACGUG